rnacentral:rRNA from 1 species
GAUGAACGCUAGCGGCAGGCUUAAUACAUGCAAGUUGAGGGGCAGCAUGAUAUACGCGAGUAUAUUGAUGGCGACCGGCGGACGGGUGAGUAAUAGGUAGGAGACCUACCUCAUACAGGGGGAUAGCAUAGAGAAAUCUGUGGUAAUACCCCAUGAGGUUAUAUGAAUAGAGGCAUAUAAUCAAAGCAUAAGCGAUUAUGCGGUAUGAGAGGGGCCUACUGACCAUUAGCUAGUUGGUGAGGUAAGGGCUCACCAAGGCGAAGAUGGUUAGGGGUUUUGAGAGAGAGACCCCCCACAUUGGAACUGAGAGACGGUCCAGACUCCUACGGGAGGCAGCAGUAGGGAAUAUUGGGCAAUGGGCGAAAGCCUGACCCAGCCAUGCCGCGUGAAGGAAGACGGCCUUAUGGGUUGUAAACUUCUUUACUAUGCGAAUAGAGGUUAGUACGAGAUACUAAUAGGAAGGUAGUGUAGUAAAAAGCACCGGCUAACUCCGUG